rnacentral:misc_RNA from 1 species
AGAAUGUUGUGAUACAUUAUAUCACCAACUUGUUUUACACUUGAAUCUCAGAGUUGACCAAGACAUGGCUACUGAGAAAUGGUGACAGGAGAUUUCAUGGAUGCAGGGCACAACUCACCAUAGAAAUGAAACCCUUUUGCGAAGUGGUUGUCUCAUACGACUUAGAAUAACUCACAUACCACUUAGAAUAACUCACUACCUUGUAUGGAAUCCGAAUUUAUUAAGCUCUUCUUCCUCACUCUACACAAUUUUCUUUCCAUCUGAAACCAAAGAUAGUAAGUAAACAAACAUACAUUUCUAUGGUAUGGACAACUUGCAGCUUUUCAUUAAUACUGCUUUUGUCCAAGACACUGACACUGG